rnacentral:rRNA from 1 species
GACGAACGCUGGCGGCGUGCCUAAUACAUGCAAGUAGAACGCACGGUUUAUACCGUAGCUUGCUACACCAUAGACUGUGAGUUGCGAACGGGUGAGUAACGCGUAGGUAACCUGCCUGGUAGCGGGGGAUAACUAUUGGAAACGAUAGCUAAUACCGCAUAAUAUUAAUUAUUGCAUGAUAAUUAAUUGAAAGGUGCAAUUGCACCACUACCAGAUGGACCUGCGUUGUAUUAGCUAGUAGGUGAGGUAACGGCUCACCUAGGCGAAGAUACAUAGCCGACCUGAGAGGGUGAUCGGCCACACUGGGACGGGGACACGGCCCAGACUCCUACGGGAGGCAGCAGUAGGGAAUCUUCGGCAAUGGACGAAAGUCUGACCGAGCAACGCCGCGUGAGUGAAGAAGGGUUUCGGAUCGUAAAGAUCUGUUGUAAGAGAAGAACGGGUGUGAGAGUGGAAAGUUCACACUGUGACGGUAUCUUACCAGAAAGGGACGGCUAACUACGUG